CCGGCUAAUGUUUGCCACCUCUGUGCCCCCCCCAACUAAGGUGAAUAAUUUUUGCCGGCAAAUUUUUGCCAGCUUUGUGCUUCCCAGCUAAUUAUUUAUGCCGGCUAUUGACUGUGUGGCUAUAGAUGUGGAUUACUAGGAUUACCCAGGUAUUUUUUGCAUUGUUUCGAUCAAGUUGUAGCUGUUUUUUAACAGGUUAAUUCCUUCCUACAUGAUAUCAACCAGGUGACAUCGUAUUAAACUUCAGAAAGAAGUUUUGGCAAUUUGACCUGUUUGAAUCCUAACAAGUGCUUCUGCUGACUCAUGCUAGAUGGUUUCUAGUUUCUCAAUGUGCAACUAUGGUGGAUAUCAGAACUUCUUGCAUAUUUCUGAUUACUGAUGGAGGUCUUUUUCUUUGUUCCACUAUAUAACCAAGGUACCUUUUCCUUAUUCUGAUGACUAACCAAACUUCAUGUUGAAUUGUUUUAAUGUAUAAUAUUGUUCUUCAGACUAACCCAGGUGUUUUUUUGCAUUGUUCCCAAAACUAACCCAGGUAUUUUUUUGCAUUGUUCCCAAGACUAACCCAGGUAUUUUUUUGCAUUGUUCCCAAGACUAACCCAGGUAUUUUUUGCAUUGUUCCCAAGACUAACCCAGGUAUUUUUUUGCAUUGUUCCCAAGACUAACCCAGGUAUUUUUUGCAUUGUUCCCAAGACUAACCCAGGUAUUUUUUGCAUUGUUCCCAAAACUAACCCAGGUAUUUUUUGCAUUGUUCCCAAGACUAACCCAGGUAUUUUUUGCAUUGUUCCCAAGACUAACCCAGGUAUUUUUUUGCAUUGUUCCCAAGACUAACCCAGGUAUUUUUUGCAUUGUUCCCAAGACUAACCCAGGUAUUUUUUUGCAUUGUUCCCAAGACUAACCCAGGUAUUUUUUGCAUUGUUCCCAAGACUAACCCAGGUAUUUUUUGCAUUGUUCCCAAAACUAACCCAGGUAUUUUUUGUAUUGUUCCCAAAACUAACCCAGGUAUUUUUUGUAUUGUUCCCAAGACUUGCCAGGUGUUUUUUGUAUUGUUCCCAAGACUUGCCAGGUGUUUUUUGCAUUGUUCCCAAGACUAACCCAGGUGUUUUUUGCAUUGUUCCCAAGGCUAACCCAGAUAUGUUUUUUGCAUUGUUCCCAAAACUAACCCAGAUAUGUUUUGUAUUGUUCCCAAGACUAACCCAGAUAUGUUUUUUGCAUUGUUCCCAAAACUAACCCAGGUUUGUUUUUUGUAUUGUUCCCAAGACUAACCCAGGUGUUUUUUUGCAUUGUUCUUCAGACUAACCCAGAUGUUUUUUUGCAUUGUUCUUCAGACUAACCCAGGUGUUUUUUGCAUUGUUCCCAAGACUAACCAGAUAUGUUUUUUUGCGUUGUUCCCAAAACUAACCCAAGUAUGUUUUUUGCAUUGUUCCCAAGACUAACCCAGGUAUUUUUUGCAUUGUUUCGAUCAAGUUGUAGCUGUUUUUUCACAGGUUAAUUCCUUCCUACAUGAUAUCAACCAGGUGACAUCGUAUUAAACUUCAGAAAGAAGUUUUGGCAAUUUGACCUGUUUGAAUCCUACCAAGUGCUUCUGCUGACUCAUGCUAGAUGGUUUCUAGUUUUCAAUGUGCAACUAUGGCAGAUGUCAGAACUAUCAGAACUUCUUGCAUUGUUCUGAUCACUGAUACAGGUCUUUUCCUUUGUUCUGAUUACUGAUGGAUCUUUUUCUUUGUUCCACUAUAUAACCAAGGUACCUUUUCCUUAUUCUGAUGACUACCCAACACUUCAUGUUGAAUUGUUUUAAUGUAUAACAUUGUUCUUCAGACUAACCCAGGUGUUUUUUGCAUUUUCCAAAAACUAACCCUUUAUUUUUGUGCAUUGUUACCAAGACUAACCCAUGUAUUUUUUUUGCGUUGUUCCGAUCAAGUCUAAGCUGUUUUUUUUACAGGUUAAUUCCUUCCUACAUGAUAUCAACCAGGUGACAUCGUAUUGAACUUCCGAAGACCUGUUUGAAAUCCUACCUAGUGCUUCCGCUGACUCAUGCUAGAUGGUUUUAGUUUUUUUACACGUGCAUCUAUGGAGGACAUAACAGCGCUUUACCUUCAAGACGCCGGGGUUCCUGGUACGAUGGUAAAUCAGUGACUCAUCCAGCUCAGAGUUUCACCGCUCGCUCAGGAGCUACGCCCGGAUGUUGAACGCUUCCAGCUGUACCUACGGAUGACCAGUGCCCAAUUCU
rnacentral:lncRNA from 1 species